rnacentral:rRNA from 1 species
GAUGGCUGAGGCAAUAGGGGAGCUCGGGCAACCGAGUGAAGGUCAUGAUUCUAGGCUGCCAAGAAAAACUUCUAAACGCGAAGCAGACCGACCGUACUACAAACCGACACAGGUGGGUGGGGUGAAUAACCUAAGGCGCUCGAGAUAACUCUUGUUAAGGAACUCGGCAAAUUAGUCCCGUAACUUCGGGAAAAGGGACGCCUUUUUAGUGUGAAGUAGAACAUAUGGAGCAUGAAGAGGUCGCAGAGAAAUGGGCCAAGCGACUGUUUAGCAAAAACACAGGGCUCUGCAAAAUCGUAAGAUAAAGUAUAGGGUCUGACACCUGCCCGGUGCUGGAAGGUUAAAAGGAGAGGUUAGCGUGAUUUAUCAUGCGAAGCUUUGAAUUGAAGCCCCAGUAAACGGCGGCCGUAACUAUGACGGUCCUAAGGUAGCGAAAUUCCUUGUCAGGUAAGUUCUGACCUGCACGAAUGGUGUAACGACUUGGUCACUGUCUCAACAAGAGGCUCGGUGAAAUUGUAAUGUUAGUGAAGAUGCUGACUACCUGUAGUUGGACGGAAAGACCCCGUGCACCUUUACUGUACCCUGACACUGUGAUUUGGCAACGUAUGUGUAGGAUAGGUGGGAGACUUUGAAGUUGGGACGCCAGUCUCGAUGGAGUCGUUGUUGAAAUACCACCCUUACUUUGUUGGAUUACUAACUGAUACCCGUUAUCCGGGAUCAGGACAAUGUCUGGCGGGCAGUUUGACUGGGGCGGUCGCCUCCUAAAGAGUAACGGAGGCGCCCAAAGGUUCCCUCAGCACGGACGGAAAUCGUGCGCAGAGUGCAAACGCAUAAGGGAGCUUGACUGCGAGACAAACAAGUCGAGCAGAAACGAAAGUUGGGGUUAGUGAUCCGGUGGUCCCGAGUGGAAGGGCCAUCGCUCAACGGAUAAAAGGUACGCCGGGGAUAACAGGCUGAUAGUGCCCAAGAGUUCAUAUCGACGGCACUGUUUGGCACCUCGAUGUCGACUCUCCGCAUCCUGGGGCUGGAGAAGGUCCCAAGGGUUUGGCUGUUCGCCAAUUAAAGCGGAACGCGAGUUGGGUUCAAAACGUCGUGAGACAGUUUGGUCCCUAUCCUCUACAGGCGUUGGAGAUUUGAGGAGAUCUGUUCCUAGUACGAGAGGACCGGAAUGGACGAACCUCUGGUACAUCGGUUAUCGCGCCAGCGGUACAGCCGAGUAGCUAUGUUCGGAAGGAAUAACCGCUGAAAGCAUCUAAGCGGGAAAUCUACUCCAAGAUGAGAUCUCCCCGGGGGUUUAACCCCCCUGAAGACUCCUCGAAGACUACGAGGUCGAUAGGAUGGCGGUGUAAGUGCGGUAACGUAUUCAGCCUACCAUUACUAAUCGGUCGUGAGGCUC